rnacentral:other from 1 species
UGACCUCUGCUGUGUACGUAUUGAAAUAAGAUUUGAAAAAACCGAUACCCGUACUCAGGGAAAUCGGGCCUUGAUGGAUCGAAAAUGCCUACUCGAUAGGACUUUCGGACACAAGCAACGAUUACCCACUUUGAAAUACUGGGUUUGUUCAGACACUUUCUUACGGCGUCAGCGGUGGAAAG